rnacentral:rRNA from 1 species
UACGUAGGGUGCAAGCGUUAAUCGGAAUUACUGGGCGUAAAGCGUGCGCAGGCGGUUUUUGUAAGUCAGAUGUGAAAUCCCCCGGGCUUAACCUGGGAACUGCGUUUUGAAACUACAAGGCUAGAGUGUGGCAGAGGGGGGUGGAAUUCCACGUGUAGCAGUGAAAUGCGUAGAGAUGUGGAGGAACACCGAUGGCGAAGGCAGCCCCCUGGGUUAACACUGACGCUCAGGCACGAAAGCGUGGGGAGCAAACAGG